AGGCAAGGGAGGGGCUCUGGGAUGAAAGUCUUUGCAGGAAGCCCGGCUCGGGCUCCCCUGGAGACUCCGGGGUGAAAGAUCUUGCAGGGAGCCCCGCUUAGGCUCCGCAGAAGGCGAAGAAGGGGCUCCGGGCUCAGGAGCCGCGAAGGCCAAGGAGGCUCUCUGGGAUAGAGUCCUUGCAGAGAGCCGGGCUCAGAGUCCUUGCAGGAGGCCAAGGAGGAGCUGCGGGUUCAGGGGCUCGGCAGGGAGCUGCAUCAGUGUCCGCUGGAGGUUCGGGGUUCAGCAGCCCCAAAGGGAGCUCCCGGGGCUAAAGACCUUCAGAGGGCUGAGGAGGAUACCUUGGAGAUUUGGUGUCUGUGGCCCCACAGCUCUGGAAGAAGAUGGAAUGUCGACUAUGUGCAGUCACAUGUUUGGUGCUUACUCAACACAUUGUAUUAGGGAUGGUUUAUUCUUUAGGAAAAGAAAAAAGUGCUAAUUAUAGAAGCCUCUCAGAAAUAGAAGGAAUUAGAAAUGAAGUCUGAUGAGACAAAUCGAAACUUCUUUGUUAUUUUUUUUCUUUCGGGUGGAUUUACUAAAAUGAAGAUGUAGAAGGCAGAAUCCAUUGCAACAGUUCUGUGAAUUUAGUUAAAAAUCCAAUCUAGUCUGACUUAUCUACAAUUCUUACUCUGAUUCGUGCACUUUCUUGGUCAAUGCAAGGAAAAUACAGGGUUUUUGAAAGUAUAAAGAUUUUGACAUGUGUCCUAGCACCUAAAGAGAGAUAGUAGGUUGAAUGAGUUUUUCUGGAGUGACUUGCUCUAAGCCAUUGUUAGUAAGGAGCAGCUAGAUGGUGAAGUAGCUAGAGUGUCAG